rnacentral:rRNA from 1 species
AUACGUAGGGGACGAGCGUUGUCCGGAAUUACUGGGCGUAAAGGGCGCGCAGGCGGAUAUUUAAGUCAGCUGUAAAAGGAAUGAGCUCAACUCAUGUAUGCGGUUGAAACUGGGUAUCUAGAGUGCUGGAGAGGUAGGCGGCAUUCCCGGUGUAGCGGUGAAAUGCGUAGAUAUCGGGAAGAAAACCAGUGGCGAAGGCGGCUUACUGGCCAGCAACUGACGCUGAGGCGCGAAAGCCAGGGGAGCGAACGGGAUUAGAUACCCCGGUAGUCCUGGCCGUAAACGAUGAAUGCUAGGUGUGGGUGUCGAGAGGCAUCCGUGCCUGAGUUAACGCGAUAAGCAUUCCGCCUGGGGAGUACGGUCGCAAGAUUGAAACUCAAAUGAAUUGGCGGGG